rnacentral:rRNA from 1 species
AUGAAUUUCCCAUGCGCCACCACGGAAUUCCUGAUCAAAUGCCUGGGCCUACCUCUAUCUCCUAAGAAACUUCUCAAGGCCGACCUCACGCCCCUUGUGGACUCUCUGGCAAACCAGCUCCCGGUGUGGAAAACCAACCUCAUCCCAACCUACGGUCGGCUCGCGCUACUCAACUCUGUGCUCACAACCCUGAAAAUCUACCAUAUGCUAGCACUCGAUCUACCGCCAUGGCUAUUAAAAGUGGCAGACAAGAUACAUCGUGGAUUCCUCUGGGCGGGCUAUGAUUGUGCGCGCAAUGGGAAAUGCCAUGUGGCGUGGGCCAAUGUUUGCACUCCAAAGGAGCUAGGCGGCCUUGGAAUCCAUAUCCUCAAAGCACUGAACGACGCUCUAUGA